GUGCCAGCCGCCGCGGUAAUACCGGCAGCCCGAGUGAUGGCCGAUAUUAUUGGGCCUAAAGCGUCCGUAGCUGGCCAGACAAGUCCGUUGGGAAAUCCACGCGCUCAACGAGUGGGCGUCCGACGGAAACUGCACAGCUUGGGACCGGAAGGCUCGAAGGGUACGUUCGGGGUAGGAGUGAAAUCCCAUAAUCCCGCACGGACCACCGAUGGCGAAAGCACUUCGAGAAAACGGAUCCGACAGUGAGGGACGAAAGCUGGGAUCUCGAACCGGAUUAGAAACCCGAGUAGUCC
rnacentral:rRNA from 1 species